rnacentral:misc_RNA from 1 species
GGGGUUCAAAUCUUGAUAACUCUCAUUUCAUUUAAAAAUUUAUGAGGAACCAAACGAAGGCAUGAAUGUAAAUUCAUACCUACCCCGAAUCAAUUUGUCUACCAGAUCAUAAUGCCUGGCACAUAAAUGUCUUAGCCAUUUCAUGCGGGAGAAUUGUUUGGUAAAGGUUGCUGGGAUAAAAGCACUGCUCAUCUGAAUCUCACUUGAUAGCCAAAGGAACAAAUUUUGUUGUAUAAGAGCCUAUAUAAUGCUAAUGCUGCUGCUGCUGCUAAUUCUUUGAUUACUUGGUAGCUAUGACAGAGUUGCCAAAGUGAUCAGAGUUUGAAACACAAUAAAAAAAACUAAACCCAAACUUGAAUAUUACAUGAAUCAAACAUCUUUGAAUUCAGGUAAGGGGAUGAUAUUGAAAAACAAAUUCCCUGACCAACUUCACAGACCUAUGCUAUAAAGUAUACAAGCAAAGGUUUCAAUCUUCUGUGCAUAAUAUUAAAUAAAACAAGAAAUUCAUUAAAGAAAAUAAUUAGAAAAAAAAAGGGAACAACACUAGAGAAAGAAAUCGGAAACAAAAAACUAGAUACAUGAAAAACCAAGAUCCAGAACACCGAAACUAAUACCUCUUCCCAAGAAUUAUGCCAAUGAUGAUAGAUACAACGGCCAAUCCCAAAAUAAACUUAAUGUUCAUGGCUUGAGAAACCUGUGUAGUUUGAACAUGCGUCUCCGAAGAGGAUGAUGUUUGUGCAGAUGCAGCCUCUAACUUUUUCUUACUCUUCCUUUUUGUGGGAGCAGAAAUGGUUGAUCCAAUGUCUCUGGAUUUGAUUUCUGUUCCAUCAUUAUGUUCAGCCAAAUUGCCUUCAUCACCCUUUUGUAGUAAUUUUUCAUCAGCAAGUUGCAAUUUAUGCUCAAGCUCCUUUACUUGCUUCUCCAGAAGUAUGAUUUCCUUGUUCU